rnacentral:rRNA from 1 species
UUGACCUCGAAUCAGGUAGGAAUACCCGCUGAACUUAAGCAUAUCAAUAAGCGGAGGAAAAGAAACCAACCGGGAUUACCUCAGUAACGGCGAGUGAAGCGGUAACAGCUCAAAUUUGAAAUCUGGCUCCUUCGGAGUCCGAGUUGUAAUUUGUAGAAGAUGCUUUGGGUUGUGGGCUCGGCCUAAGUUCCUUGGAACAGGACGUCAUAGAGGGUGAGAAUCCCGUAUGUGGCCAUGGCCCGCGCCUAUGUAAAGCUCUUUCGACGAGUCGAGUUGUUUGGGAAUGCAGCUCAAAAUGGGUGGUAAAUUUCAUCUAAAGCUAAAUAUGGGCCAGAGACCGAUAGCGCACAAGUAGAGUGAUCGAAAGAUGAAAAGCACUUUGGAAAGAGAGUUAAACAGUACGUGAAAUUGUUGAAAGGGAAGCGCUUGCAACCAGACUUGGGCGCUGCCGAUCACCCCGAGUUCUCUCGGGUGCACUCGACAGCGCACAGGCCAGCAUCGGUUCGGGUGGCUGGAUAAAGGCCGUAGGAAUGUAGCUCUCUUCGGGGAGUGUUAUAGCCCACGGUGCCAUGCAGCCCAGCCGGACCGAGGACCGCGCCUUCGGGCUAGGAUGCUGGCGUAAUGGUUGUAAGCGACCCGUCUUGAAACACGGACCAAGGAGUCUAACAUCUAUGCGAGUGUUUGGGCGUUAAACCCAUACGCGGAAUGAAAGUGAACGUAGGUGAGAACCCCUUUGGGGCGCAUCAUCGACC